rnacentral:rRNA from 1 species
GACGAACGCUGGCGGCGUGCUUAACACAUGCAAGUCGAACGAAGAGCGACGGAAGCUUGCUUCUAUCAAUCUUAGUGGCGAACGGGUGAGUAACGCGUAAUCAACCUGCCCUUCAGAGGGGGACAACAGUUGGAAACGACUGCUAAUACCGCAUACGAUCUAACCUCGGCAUCGAGGAUAGAUGAAAGGUGGCCUCUACAUGUAAGCUAUCACUGAAGGAGGGGAUUGCGUCUGAUUAGCUAGUUGGAGGGGUAACGGCCCACCAAGGCGAUGAUCAGUAGCCGGUCUGAGAGGAUGAACGGCCACAUUGGGACUGAGACACGGCCCAGACUCCUACGGGAGGCAGCAGUGGGGAAUCUUCCGCAAUGGACGAAAGUCUGACGGAGCAACGCCGCGUGAGUGAUGACGGCCGUCGGGUUGUAAAGCUCUGUUAAUCGGGACGAAAGGCCUUCUUGCGAAUAGGGAGAAGGAUUGACGGUACCGGAAGAGAAAGCCACGGCUAACUACGUG